rnacentral:rRNA from 1 species
GCAACCAAAAGGGAAUCGGGUUAACAGUCCCGAACCCGGCUACGGAGAUCGGCCCUUCGGGGCCCAGUGCGGCAACGCAAACCAGCUCGGAGACGCCGAUGGGAGCCCCGGGAAGAGUUUUCUUUUCUCUGUAAGGAGAUCGAGUCCCUGGAAUGGGUUCACCCCGAGAUAGGGACGGUGGCUCCGUAGAGCAGUGCGGCUCUUGCGCUGUCCGGUGCGCUCCUGUCGGCCCUUGAAAAUCCGAGUGAGGGAGUGUGAUUUUCGUGCCGGACCGUACCCACAUCCGCAGCAGGUCUCCAAGGUGAACAGCCUCUAGUCGAUAGACCAAUGUAGGUAAGGGAAGUCGGCAAAACGGAUCCGUAACCUUGGGAAAAGGAUUGGCUCUGAGGGCUGAGCCGGUCGGGCUGGGGUCCAGAAGCAGGAACGGCACUGCACCGGGACUGGGCGAGGCUCGCCGCCGUAAAAAGCGGUGCGGCCGAGCCCGGACCAGCGUCGGGACCUUCCUGUGGAAAGCCACAGCUGUGCAUUUUCCG